UACGAAGGGUGCAAGCGUUAAUCGGAAUUACUGGGCGUAAAGGGUGCGUAGGCGGUUCGUUAAGUCUGUCGUGAAAUCCCCGGGCUCAACCUGGGAAUGGCGAUGGAUACUGGCGAGCUAGAGUGUGUCAGAGGAUGGUGGAAUUCCCGGUGUAGCGGUGAAAUGCGUAGAGAUCGGGAGGAACAUCAGUGGCGAAGGCGGCCAUCUGGGACAACACUGACGCUGAAGCACGAAAGUGUGGGGAUCAAACAGG
rnacentral:rRNA from 1 species